rnacentral:lncRNA from 1 species
UGUCUUUAAUAGAGUCUAAUACUUCUAUCCACGUUUGAAAAAUACCAUUUGUCUUACCGUGUACAACCACGUAGUAUUUAAACCUUUUUUCUUGAUUUUGUCUGUAAAAUAUUGCCCAAGGCAUUAAGAGCUGCUAUAACAUAUUUAGUGUCUUGCUUAUUAUGUGCUAUCCAUAGGUUAUCAAUUAAACAUCUCUGGGGUCUAUCUAUAACACAUUCUGGUAAAAUUCUAAAUGACAUAUUCGAUGGUGGAAAAAAUAUUAAAUUAUGCUUCCCAAAAUUUAUUCUGUCUAUAUUAUUUUGUUGCGUAAUGGGUUGUGGUUUAAUAUGAAUGUUACCUAAUACCGUCUGCAAGUAUUUGUCUGAGGGUGAGGCUUGAACGCCUUUUCCCUUGUCUUCAGUCUUGGGAGUGGCUUAAAAUGAAGGUUACCUAAUAUUGUCUGCAAGUAUUUGUUUGAGGGUGAGGCUUGAACGCUUUUUCCCUUGUCUUCAGUCUUGGGAACUGUUGGUCUCAUUCUGGACAUGUAAAAUAUUCUUAUUAAUUGACAAUAAUUUUUAACCUUCUUAAAGUGUCUGCUAAA